GUAGUCAUAUGCUUGUCUCAAAGAUUAAGCCAUGCAUGUCUAAGUAUAAGCAAUUAUACCGUGAAACUGCGAAUGGCUCAUUAAAUCAGUUAUCGUUUAUUUGAUAGUACCUUACUACUUGGAUAACCGUGGUAAUUCUAGAGCUAAUACAUGCUGAAAACCCCAACUUCGGGAGGGGUGUAUUUAUUAGAUAAAAAACCAAUGCCCUUCGGGGCUUCUUGGUGAUUCAUGAUAACUUCACGGAUCGCAUGGCCUUGCGCCGGCGACGGUUCAUUCAAAUUUCUGCCCUAUCAACUUUCGAUGGUAAGGUAUUGGCUUACCAUGGUUUCAACGGGUAACGGGGAAU
rnacentral:rRNA from 1 species